rnacentral:rRNA from 1 species
GACUGUCGGAUCGUUGAAUGCGUCCAUUAUCCCACGCUGAUACUCAGCCCGAGAGGUAUCCCAAGAGCCUGGCUCCGCUGACGAUUCAGGCGAAAGUCUCCGAAACUGAUCUGCCCAUUCGCUGAUUUUUAAAUCAGGCGGUGGCUUCAGGCUCUGAAACACCUUCGUCAAUACCGUCUUCAGUGUCGGAUGACAAGACAGGGUUAUGGACAUGGAUUUCGACAUUUUCAAGUUCAUUGAGUGCUUCGUAUAUUUGUUCUUUUAACAGAUUCUUAACCUCAGAGAUAGACUCAGCAGAGAAAACCUCGGCAGCAGCCUUGGUUGGCAAUGAGAGCAGUUUCGCCCUCAUGUUAGUGGUCGCUUCCAUCCAUGCCGUUUCAAUAUCAGAGGCUGGAAUUAGCUUUUCCUCCAUUUGGGCUUUUUCCAUUUCCAUAAUGUCAGCCUUUGCCCUGGUCAGCCGCAUUCUGUGUGUCGUGUAGUCAUCUUCAGGUAAGUCUCUUUUUAGAUUACCCAUCCUCAGAAAUUGGAUGUAUGCCCUGACCACUGGGACAAGUUCAUACUUGCCACGUUCUAACUUUGGAAUAACGCCUUCUUUUGCGAGUUGGUUAAUCCGCUGCGGAGUCAGGUCUAACAACCUGCAUAUCGUGUCAAGAGAUACUGUCGCUGCCAUUGAUUAACUCUGCUUUCUUUCCGGUGAAGUCUUCCCAACGCUUAACAAUCACAUCGCAAUACUUUGGGUCAAGUUCCAUCAAUCUGGCAUAUCGACCAUGCUUUUCUGCUGCCAGCAAUGUGGUUCCACUUCCACCAAAACUAUCUAAAACAAUAUCUCCACCUUUUGUAUUGUUAAGCAUCUGAUACUCAAAGAGAGCAACAGGCUUCAUUGUGGGGUGUUCACCAUUUCGUGAGGGUUUAUCAAACUCGGUGAUAGCUGGUUCUCCCCGAAAGCUAUUUAGGUAGUGCCUCGUGUAUCACCUUCGGGGGUAGAGCACUGUCAUGGUAGUGGGGUCCAUUGCGGAUUACUGCGCCAUAGCAAACUCCGAAUACCAACGAGUCUAGUUCGGCAGACAGACGGCGGGUGCUAAGGUCCGUCGUCAAAAGGGAAACAGCCCUAACCUACAGCUAAGGUCCCCAAGUCAUCACUAAGUGGGAAAGCAUGUGGGAAUCCCAAAACAACCAGGAGGUUGGCUUAGAAGCAGCCAUCCUUUAAAGAAAGCGUAACAGCUCACUGGUCUAAAUAAGGGUUCCUGCGGCGAAAAUGUAACGGGGCUAAAGUGAUGCACCGAAGCUUAGGGUUCAGUCUUUGACUGAGCGGUAGCGGAGCGUUCCGUAAGCGAGUGAAGCGGGAGGGUAACCGACCGUGGACGUAUCGGAAGUGCGAAUGCUGACAUGAGUAGCGACAAAGAGGGUGAGAUGCCCUCUCGCCGAAAGACCAAGGGUUCCUGCUUAAAGCUAAUCUGAGCAGGGUAAGCCGGCCCCUAAGACGAGCCCGAAGGGGGUAGUCGAUGGGAACCACGUUAAUAUUCGUGGGCCUGGUGGUGUGUGACGGAUCACGUGUGUUGUCUGACCUUAUCGGAUUGGUCAGGCUUCGAAGUGGUUCCAGGAAAUAGCCCCACCGUAUAGACCGUACCCGAAACCGACACAGGUGGUCAGGUAGAGUAUACCAAGGCGCUUGAGAGAAGUAUCCUGAAGGAACUCGGCAAAUUGCCUCCGUACCUUCGGAAGAAGGAGGCCCCACUUCUGCGCAAGCAGUUGUGGGGGGCACAGGCCAGGGGGUAGCGACUGUUUAGCAAAAACACAGGACUCUGCUAAGUCGGCUUCAAGACGACGUAUAGGGUCUGACGCCUGCCCGGUGCCGGAAGGUUAAGAGGAGGAGUGCAAGCUCCGAAUUGAAGCCCCGGUAAACGGCGGCCGUAACUAUAACGGUCCUAAGGUAGCGAAAUUCCUUGUCGGGUAAGUUCCGACCUGCACGAAUGGCGUAACGACUUCCCCACUGUCUCCAGGAUAUGCUCAGCGAAAUUGAAUUCUCCGUGAAGAUGCGGAGUACCCGCGGUUAGACGGAAAGACCCCGUGCACCUUUACUGCAGCUUCAGAGUGGCAUUAGGAAAGAAUUGUGUAGCAUAGGUGGGAGGCUUUGAAGCACCGGCGCCAGCUGGUGUGGAGCCAUAGGUGAAAUACCACCCUGUUGUUUUCUGAUGUCUAACCUCGCGCCGUUAGCCGGCGUAGGGACCCUCUGUGGCGGGUAGUUUGACUGGGGCGGUCGCCUCCUAAAGAGUAACGGAGGCGCGCGAUGGUAGGCUCAGGCCGGUUGGAAACCGGCUGUUAGAGUGCAAUGGCAUAAGCCUGCCUGACUGCGAGACUGACGAGUCGAGCAGAGACGAAAGUCGGUCAUAGUGAUCCGGUGGUCCCUCGUGGAAGGGCCAUCGCUCAACGGAUAAAAGGUACGCCGGGGAUAACAGGCUGAUGAUUCCCAAGAGCUCAUAUCGACGGAAUCGUUUGGCACCUCGAUGUCGGCUCAUCACAUCCUGGGGCUGGAGCAGGUCCCAAGGGUUUGGCUGUUCGCCAAUUAAAGUGGUACGUGAGCUGGGUUCAGAACGUCGCGAGACAGUUUGGUCCCUAUCUGCCGUGGGCGUCGAUACUUGAGAGGAGUUGCCCCUAGUACGAGAGGACCGGGGUGAACAUGCCUCUGGUGUACCUGUCGUUCCGCCAGGAGCGCAGCAGGGUAGCUAUGCAUGGACGGGAUAACCGCUGAAAGCAUCUAAGCGGGAAGCCUCCCUCAAGAUAAGGUAUCUUCGAGUCGUGAUAGACCAUCACGUUGAUAGGCCGGAUGUGGAAGCGCAGUAAUGUGUGGAGCUAACCGGUCCUAAUAACUCUGAUCAUGCUUGAU